CGAGAUGAGAGAGGAAGAGUUAUGACAAUUUUAUAAAGCACUUCACAGAGGUAUCAAAAGCUGCUCUAAAAGUUCUGAGCUUCUGAAUACAAUCUAGAACAAUGGACGUACAGAAAAGUGCCACUUUAAUUUUUUCAAAACAUCUUCUUUUGGGAUCACAUGGGUUUGGAAUAACAUGAAAGGGAGUUAAUGACCACAUUUUCAUUUUGAAGUGAACUGUCCCUUUAAAGAAGGACCACCAGGUUGCCAAGCGAGAGAGGGGGAUGUGAGACAGAGAGAGAAAAUCAAAAGAAGAGGGGGAGUCUGGAUGAGGACUAUUGCGGCCAACUCGUUCUGUUGAGUUGAGAAGCAGCAUCUGGAAACGUUUAUGUCUGCGCAGCUACGGCCCCAACAGUUACAUCACUCAGAGGAACACUUCCCUGCCCCCAACACACACACACACACACACACACAUUCAUAUACACACACAACAACCCCCAGUAACCCAGUACGAUUUCCUGCAAAUUCCAAAGUCGGAUCCCGGCUGGAACACUUCAGUGCGCUUGCCACGUCACUUUGCCUCUUCUUUCGUCCCUUUUUUUUUUACUUUUGUCCUCUCUUUUCUUCAUUUAUCGCUUUCUCUUUACUUCGAAAACCACUGCUAAAGGAAUAAUUCUCAGUGUUAUUCAUAAAACAACGAUAAAGAGUGAAAACUGCACUCGGUUCAGAAUUCGAAAAUGGAGCUAUGAUGGCAAAGCGAUCUGUAUUCCUCGUGAAGAAACUACAGAGGCCUGGAAUAUGCAUUUGCCACGCAGCAGCGGACAUUCGUGUGCGGUCCUCGGGGCAGUGACCUGCGGUCCAGCCGCCCUCUUUCCUCCCCCCCGCCUGCCCAGUGUUCAGACUACCUGUUCAUCAUGCUGCAGCUGAACAGUAGUCCGCACAUUGGUUAGGCUGGGCAGGGACACACACACCCGUGGCUCAAGCAAAUGGACUCUACCAUUCGCUCCUGGAUGGGGGGAUUUUACAUAUAAACAAUCUCUCUUGGGGAAUGAAUUGAGACGUUUACAUUGAAGUUGCUUUGGAGCAUCUGCCAAAUGCACUGAAGUACACAUUCAUAAAUGUAUGUACUCCCUGGAAAUAAAACCCAAGGCCUUGAUGUUACUAGCACCACAUUCUACCAGUCAAGCCACAGGAACUCUGGAAAACAGCUAACGUUUGCACUAAUUUCAAACACACAUGGCGCUCGAGCCCAACUUGAGUGGAGCUGGUUUUAAGCUGAAGCCAUAGGGGGAGGGACUGCAAAAGAGAAAUGAAGAACAUAUCUCACCUCCUCAUCCUUAUACCAGGACAGCGAUUCGGCCGUCAGGAUGAACCAGUACUCCUUGGAGCCGCCCUUCAUAAUGCUGAUGUUGAGGGUUAGCCAGCCUUUACGGAUUACCUAUAGGACAGAGGGAGGAGGGGGGCGGAGGGUGUAGGGCAUGCCAAAAGAGUGGGGAAACAGUUAUGAGAUCCACACAUGUACAUUCAACAGUCUUUGUGCUGGAAGCUUGUGUCCUAUGCUGAUCAAUCCUGAAAACCCUACUGUGCAGGCCUUACCUGUUGUGGAAAUAUUUUGUGUAACUCUACUAAAGUCUGGUUGCCUUCUAUAGUGGCUAAUUUGAUUAACUAAAUAACUCAGCUUUGUACAAUACAGCAGUGGUUCUCAACUGGUUUAAAAAAAAUAAAUUUAGGCAAAAAAAAAAA